UCUCAGAUGAUGGUGUCAACAAGACCAGAGG
rnacentral:piRNA from 1 species